rnacentral:rRNA from 1 species
CUUUUAUGGAGAGUUUGAUCCUGGCUCAGAGUGAACGCUGGCGGCGUGCCUAAUACAUGCAAGUCGAACGAUGAAGCUUCUAGCUUGCUAGAAUGCUGAUUAGUGGCGCACGGGUGAGUAACGCAUAGGUUAUGUGCCUCUUAGUUUGGGAUAGCCAUUGGAAACGAUGAUUAAUACCAGAUACUCCCUACGGGGGAAAGAUUUAUCGCUAAGAGAUCAGCCUAUGUCCUAUCAGCUUGUUGGUAAGGUAAUGGCUUACCAAGGCUAUGACGGGUAUCCGGCCUGAGAGGGUGAACGGACACACUGGAACUGAGACACGGUCCAGACUCCUACGGGAGGCAGCAGUAGGGAAUAUUGCUCAAUGGGGGAAACCCUGAAGCAGCAACGCCGCGUGGAGGAUGAAGGUUUUAGGAUUGUAAACUCCUUUUGUUAGAGAAGAUAAUGACGGUAUCUAACGAAUAAGCACCGGCUAACUCCGUGCCAGCAGCCGCGGUAAUACGGAGGGUGCAAGCGUUACUCGGAAUCACUGGGCGUAAAGAGCGUGUAGGCGGGAUAGUCAGUCAGGUGUGAAAUCCUAUGGCUUAACCAUAGAACUGCAUUUGAAACUACUAUUCUAGAGUGUGGGAGAGGUAGGUGGAAUUCUUGGUGUAGGGGUAAAAUCCGUAGAGAUCAAGAGGAAUACUCAUUGCGAAGGCGACCUGCUGGAACAUUACUGACGCUGAUUGCGCGAAAGCGUGGGGAGCAAACAGGAUUAGAUACCCUGGUAGUCCACGCCCUAAACGAUGGAUGCUAGUUGUUGGAGGGCUUAGUCUCUCCAGUAAUGCAGCUAACGCAUUAAGCAUCCCGCCUGGGGAGUACGGUCGCAAGAUUAAAACUCAAAGGAAUAGACGGGGACCCGCACAAGCGGUGGAGCAUGUGGUUUAAUUCGAAGAUACACGAAGAACCUUACCUAGGCUUGACAUUGAGAGAAUCCGCUAGAAAUAGUGGAGUGUCUAGCUUGCUAGACCUUGAAAACAGGUGCUGCACGGCUGUCGUCAGCUCGUGUCGUGAGAUGUUGGGUUAAGUCCCGCAACGAGCGCAACCCCCUUUCUUAGUUGCUAACAGGUCAUGCUGAGAACUCUAAGGAUACUGCCUCCGUAAGGAGGAGGAAGGUGGGGACGACGUCAAGUCAUCAUGGCCCUUACGCCUAGGGCUACACACGUGCUACAAUGGGGUGCACAAAGAGAAGCAAUACUGCGAAGUGGAGCCAAUCUUCAAAACGCCUCUCAGUUCGGAUUGUAGGCUGCAACUCGCCUGCAUGAAGCUGGAAUCGCUAGUAAUCGCAAAUCAGCCAUGUUGCGGUGAAUACGUUCCCGGGUCUUGUACUCACCGCCCGUCACACCAUGGGAGUUGUGUUUGCCUUAAGUCAGGAUGCUAAAUUGGCUACUGCCCACGGCACACACAGCGACUGGGGUGAAGUCGUAACAAGGUAACCGUAGGUGAACCUGCGGUUGGAUCACCUCCUUUCU